rnacentral:rRNA from 1 species
UACGUAGGGACCAAGCGUUGUUCGGAUUUACUGGGCGUAAAGGGCGCGUAGGCGGCAAUUCAAGUCAGCUGUGAAAUCUCUGGGCUUAACCCAGAACGGCCAGCUGAUACUGCUUUGCUAGAGUGCAGAAGGGGCAAUCGGAAUUCUUGGUGUAGCGGUGAAAUGCGUAGAUAUCAAGAGGAACACCUGAGGUGAAGACGGGUUGCUGGGCUGACACUGACGCUGAGGCGCGGAAAGCCAGGGGAGCAAACGGG